AACGAACGCUGGCGGCAGGCCUAACACAUGCAAGUCGAGCGAGCAUUUCGGUGCUAGCGGCGGACGGGUGAGUAACGCGUGGGAACGUGCCCUUUUCUGCGGAAUAGUCCUGGGAAACUGGGGGUAAUACCGCAUACGCCCUUUUGGGGAAAGAUUUAUCGGAGAAGGAUCGGCCCGCGUUGGAUUAGGUAGUUGGUGGGGUAAUGGCCCACCAAGCCGACGAUCCAUAGCUGGUUUGAGAGGAUGAUCAGCCACACUGGGACUGAGACACGGCCCAGACUCCUACGGGAGGCGGCAGUGGGGAAUCUUAGACAAUGGGGGCAACCCUGAUCUAGCCAUGCCGCGUGAGUGAUGAAGGCCUUAGGGUUGUAAAGCUCUUUCAGCUGGGAAGAUAAUGACGGUACCAGCAGAAGAAGCCCCGGCUAACUCCGU
rnacentral:rRNA from 1 species